rnacentral:rRNA from 1 species
CCAGUGUCAUUGCCUCAGUAACGGCGAGUGAAGCGGCAACAGCUCAAAUUUGAAAUCUGGCCCCAGGCCCGAGUUGUAAUUUGCAGAGGAUGCUUUUGGUGCGGUGCCUUCCAAGUUCCCUAGAACGGGACGCCAGAGAGGGUGAGAGCCCCGUACAGUUGGACACCAAGCCUUUGUAAAGCUCCUUCGACGAGUCGAGUAGUUUGGGAAUGCUGCUCAAAAUGGGAGGUAUAUUUCUUCUAAAGCUAAAUACCGGCCAGAGACCGAUAGCGCACAAGUAGAGUGAUCGAAAGAUGAAAAGCACUUUGAAAAGAGGGUUAAACAGCACGUGAAAUUGUUAAAAGGGAAGCGCUUGUGACCAGACUUGCGUCCGGUGAAUCACCCAGCUCUCGCGGCUGGGGCACUUCGCCGGCUCAGGCCAGCAUCAGCUCGCUGUCGGGGACAAAAGCUUCAGGAACGUAGCUCUCUUCGGGGAGUGUUAUAGCCUGUUGCACAAUACCCUUCGGCGGGCUGAGGUACGCGCUCCGCAAGGAUGCUGGCAUAAUGGUCAUCAGCGACCCGUCUUAAAA